GACGAACGCUGGCGGCGUGCCUAAUACAUGCAAGUAGAACGCUGAAGGAAGGAGCUUGCUCUUUCUGGAUGAGUUGCGAACGAGUGAGUAACGCGUAGGUAACCUGCCUGGUAGCGGGGGAUAACUAUUGGAAACGAUAGCUAAUACCGCAUAAAAUUGAUUAUUGCAUGAUAGUCAAUUAAAAGGUGCAACUGCACCACUACCAGAUGGACCUGCGUUGUAUUAGCUAGUUGGUGGGGUAACGGCUCACCAAGGCGACGAUACAUAGCCGACCUGAGAGGGUGAUCGGCCACACUGGGACUGAGACACGGCCCAGACUCCUACGGGAGGCAGCAGUAGGGAAUCUUCGGCAAUGGACGGAAGUCUGACCGAGCAACGCCGCGGGAGUGAAGAAGGUUUUCGGAUCGUAAAGCUCUGUUGUAAGAGAAGAACGAGUGUGAGAGUGGAAAGUUCACACUGUGACGGUAUCUUACCAGAAAGGGACGGCUAACUACGUG
rnacentral:rRNA from 1 species